rnacentral:lncRNA from 12 species
AGGUGAAAACUUGAUGUUAGAAUGGAGAAGGUGUAACAGGUUAUGUUCCAGGCUUCCAGGCAACAUUUUGAAAAGAUUCUCCUUGUUCUUGGAGCUGCAAACAUCCAGGAGGAAAUCCCUGCUCAGAUUGAAUGGACUAAGCCCCAAGAACGAAUUCACAACCGAUGGAGACGAAGUCAGCAGAAAUGCUCAAAUCAUUAACCAGUGUAAGAAUUCUGAUUUUGUUAAAAGAAACUUUAUAAGAUAGACUAAAGGAAUUUAAUAACAUUUAUGCAACAAGUUUCUCAAGAUUUAUGUAUAAUGCAUGCUUAUUCUGGUUUUUGUCACAGGAAAUGAUAAGCUUUUAUGGCUCUCACCCCUUUGUCCAAGGGAUGACUUAACUUUUAUUGCACAGUUUGUCUCUGAGAGUUAUCAAUGACACAAGAAG